rnacentral:rRNA from 1 species
UACGAAGGGGGCUAGCGUUGCUCGGAAUCACUGGGCGUAAAGGGCGCGUAGGCGGCCAUUCAAGUCAGAGGUGAAAGCCCAAGGCUCAACCUUGGAAUUGCCUUUGAUACUGUUUGGCUUGAGACCGGAAGAGGUUAGUGGAACUGCGAGUGUAGAGGUGAAAUUCGUGGAUAUUCGCAAGAACACCAGUGGCGAAGGCGGCUAACUGGUCCGGUUCUGACGCUGAGGCGCGAAAGCGUGGGGAGCAAACAGG